GUAGGAUAAGCUACUAAGGGCACACGGAGGAUGCCUUGGCGCCAGAAGCCGAUGAAGGACGGGACGAACACCGAUAUGCUUCGGGGAGCUGUAAGUGAGCUACGAUCCGGAGAUUUCCGAAUGGGGAAACCCACUAGUCUGAAGGACUAGUACCGCCACCUGAAUCCAUAGGGUGGUUGGAGGCAUACCAGGGGAACUGAAACAUCUAAGUACCCUGAGGAAGAGAAAGCAAAUGCGAUUCCCUGAGUAGCGGCGAGCGAAACGGGAUUAGCCCAAACCACGAGUCUAGACUCGUGGGGUUGUAGGGCGUCUCACAUGGAGUUACAAAGGUGAGUAGUAAGUGAAGUGGUUCUGGAAUGACCCGCCAUAGCAGGUAACAGCCCUGUAACUGAAACUGCUCACUCUCCGA
rnacentral:rRNA from 1 species